AGCCAUUCCUCAUUAUGUAUUUCUUUUCUAUUUUCCUAUACUUACUAACAUGGUAUUAGUCGCCUGAGCUCCUAUUGCUUCUUCUCGCUGCUAACUCAUGGUUCAUUCCGCUGAUUUUACCGCUGCUAAUCGUGGCAAUCCUUCCUUUUCCAGAUCGCGCUUAAUUCAGACGUUCCCUCUUCAUGAUAUAAUAAAGUUAGAUGAUGGUGCAGAAGGGUAUGAGUUGCUCGGUUUCUCGAAGGGACCUUACCUGUGCCGCCCCAUUUCAUCUCCUCUCUAGAUGGAGUUUUGAC
rnacentral:lncRNA from 1 species